AGUCAUAUGCUUGUCUCAAAGAUUAAGCCAUGCAUGUCUCAGUACAAGCCAAAUUAAGGUGAAACCGCGAAAGGCUCAUUAAAUCAGUUAUGGUUCCUUAGAUCGUACCCACAUUUACUUGGAUAACUGUGGUAAUUCUAGAGCUAAUACAUGCAAACAGAGCUCCGACCGGAGACGGAAGGAGCGCUUUUAUUAGAUCAAAACCAAUCGGUGGCGGGUCCGCCCGUCAUCGUACAUUUUGGUGACUCUGAAUAACUUAUUGCUGAUCGCACGGUCUCGCACCGGCGACGCAUCUUUCAAAUGUCUGCCUUAUCAACUGUCGAUGGUAGGUUCUGCGCCUACCAUGGUUGUAACGGGUAACGGGGAAUCAGGGUUCGAUUCCGGAGAGGGAGCCUGAGAAACGGCUACCACAUCCAAGGAAGGCAGCAGGCGCGCAAAUUACCCACUCCCGGCACGGGGAGGUAGUGACGAAAAAUAACGAUACGGGACUCAUCCGAGGCCCCGUAAUCGGAAUGAGUACACUCUAAACCCUUUAACGAGGAUCAAUUGGAGGGCAAGUCUGGUGCCAGCAGCCGCGGUAAUUCCAGCUCCAAUAGCGUAU
rnacentral:rRNA from 2 species